AACACUUGCUUAACGCAAAUUACCUUUCCUGGUGCGUUUAAGAAGCUCGCCCCCUUUAGAAACAAAGUUCAAUGCUAUUGAGACAUUUGCUUCUUCAACCUGUUCGUCAGUCAGGGAUAUACUUGUAGCUCCAUACCCCUUUUCCAGCCUUGCCUUCAGUGUGGCAGCCCCUCUCAAGGCUGCAUUAGUUAUCGGUUGUCUAGAGGUUUUCCAUGAAAGAAAAUAUGGGUAUUUAGAGUUGGGAGUGAUACCUGUAGCUGCUCCAGCAGUUAGGGCCAUGAUAUCGCCGUUAUUCCUUGCAUUGAUCGCAGAACCAACAACUGCCAAGAUCUGGUCAUGCUCAGCUCCCAUUUCCUCUGCAAUCUCAAUACAAUGCGAUGCUACCAGAGCAGCUGCAGAUGCCAUUGCAGUAGAUGUUUUGGAAGGUGCCUUAUGUCGGGCAGUUGGCUUUUCAGGGGACGUCACUGACGAGGCUGCAAGAGCUGCCACGGCAGCAGCAACACCAGCCACAGACACAGCUGCGUGAAGUUGAGCAUUGUGGGUUCUAAGCUCCUGCUUCUUCCUCUCCUUUUGAUCUUUCAGCCAUCUUCCCACUUUUCUUCCCCUCAUGAUGUUCCUGUAUAGCUGAAGAACAACAAUAAGAGUGUUCAGUGUGAUGAUGACAAUGAUUGUGAUGGUGGUGAGUUUUAGAUGAAAAAGAUACCCCAUUUUUUAGCAGCUGCUGACUAGUGAGGAAAUCUGGGUUGAGAGCUUGAUGGAGUAGGAACAAUUCCUGCACAGGGUAACUGUUGUUAGUACUAAUCAAAGGGAAUAAUGAAAAAGACAGCCAUGGAAUAAUCUUACAGGUUCCUUUGGAGCUGUGGAGAUUAGGAGGUGUGGUUGAUCAUCAACAGCACCAACAGAACUCACAGGUGGUGGUGGUGGUGGUGGUGACUUCUCUGCUGGAUGAUGAUGAUUAGAGACCAAUCGUAUACAAGUAUGAGAAAGAGCUUUAGAGAGUUCCAUGGCUGACAGACUCCAUGACCUAGCCAGGAACUCCAUCGACUCCGUCGGCGUUUCUGG